rnacentral:lncRNA from 1 species
CCUCCACACAACAUAUACCUGCGCCGAAACCUUGGAGGUAUGAUUCCCCUGAUCUGCGCGGAAACCCCCUACCCCACCCCAAUCGCUCGUGCUUCCUUCGGGGAUGAGUGUCUUCUGUGGCUUCCUAGCUUCAAAGCCUUUGGCGCGAUGGAGCUUACCCGAUCUUGUCGUCGGCCGUGAUUGCCGGAGCCUGUGAUCCCUGGUGAUGGGGAUUUCUGGAGUGUCUUCUACUGGAAAGGGUCU